AAUGGGCGGAAGCCUGAUGCAGCGACGCCGCGUGAGGGAUGACGGCCUUCGGGUUGUAAACCUCUUUCAGUAGGGAACAAGGCUUUCGGGUUGAGGGUACCUGCAGAAGAGGCGCCGGCUAACUACGUGCCAGCAGCCGCGGUAAUACGUAGGGCGCGAGCGUUGUCCGGAAUUAUCGGGCGUAAAGAGCUCGUAGGCGGUUUGUCGCGUCUGCCGUGAAAUUCCAGGGCUUAACCCUGGUCGUGCGGUGAGUACGGGCAGACUAGAGUGCAGUAGGGGAGACUGGAAUUCCUGGUGUAGCGGUAAAAUGCGCAGAUAUCAGGAGGAACACCGGUGGCGAAGGCGGGUCUCUGGGCUGUUACUGACGCUGAGGAGCGAAAGCAUGGGGAGCGAA
rnacentral:rRNA from 1 species